rnacentral:misc_RNA from 1 species
UCUCCGUUGGUGAACCAGCGGAGGGAUCAUUACCAGAGUUUUACAACUCCCAACCCUUCUGUGAACCUACCUAUCGUUGCUUCGGCGGACUCGCCCCAGCGUCCGGACGGCCCCGCGCCGGCCCGCGACCUGGACCCAGGCGGCCGCCGGUGACCACACAAUCCUGUAUCCAUCAGUCUCUCUGAAGCCGCCGCAAGGCCAAACAAACGAAUCAAAACUUUCAACAAUGGAUCUCUUGGUUCUG